AAGAUCCCCUGGAAAAGGAGAUGGCAACUCACUCCAGUAUUCUUGCCUGAGAAAUCCCGUGGACAGAAGAGCCUGGAGAGCUAUAGUCCAUGAGGUCAAAGAAGAGUCAGGCACAACUUAGCCCAACCAUCAUCGCCAACACCAACACCACCUCUCUCUCCUUUUCCUCCUCCUUCAUUUUAACCAUCCUGGUGUGUGUGCAGUGGAAUUUCCUGUGAUUUUAAUAAGUUGAAGGUCCCCGAUGACCAAUUCACUUGCACACUUUUCACGAGUUUAUUGCUCACUGGGAAUAUUCCCUUUUGAGAAAUGUGGUGUAGACCUUUUAAAAAACUUUUGUCACUAUUGACUCAACCCUUGCUCAAGGCCAUGCUGUUAGGAGUUUCCAAACAAUUCCAAAUUGGGUAGGCGGGAGAAGGAAAAACAAUCUCUCCACUGGGGCAGCAUGCACGAGGCAAUGGAGGAUGACCUUUAUUAUUCCUAAUCCCAAAUUUUAAAGAGACCUUUCCCGGAGGCGGAGAGAAAGACAGCUGGGGGCUCUUCAUCAGAAAAGAGCUACCGGUCCGAAAGAACUAUUAGAAAUUGCCCUCGAUCUUCCCAGCCCAUCUCUGGCCCUUCCCGCAGUUAACUGGGGACACCACCUCCCGGGCGCAGAGGCGUUGUGGGGGGAAACGUAUCUCUUAAAACAGAAAUGUUAACAUUCUCUUAACGGCGGCGCUGAGGAUGGUGGGGCCCGGCGCCGUUUCCCCGUAAAGGCUUCCCCGGGCUCUCGGCGAAGACGCCAGGGGCGCCGGCGGCCCGGCGGGUCAGUUUGGCUUGAAGGUGAGGUUAGGCUGGUACCGCGGUUGAGGGAACCCGCGAGCGCUACCCCUGCCCACGCCGCGGGUGGGUGCCUGCGUCUCGCUGACAAACGAGUCCCGUUUUCCUCCCGCAUUAACGGAUCGUUCAAAACAGAAUCCUGGACAUCUCGUGGCGGCGCGCGGCUCCUAACUGCCGCGCAGCCAGGCGGACGGAAGCUCGGUGGCGGCAUCGCUGUCACCCCCGGGCGCCGCGGCCUGGGACCCGCGGAGCGGUGUGGCUGGGCCCGGAGAUGGGCGGUUGAGCGGCGCCUCUGGGCCCAACCGCAGCUGCCCGGUCCGCGCGGUGGCCGCGCUGCGCUGUCCUAGUGGCGGACAGGCGAGAGGACUAGCCUCCGAGCUGGGCUCCGGUGAAGGAAGCAGUACCUUGAAGAAGAAUUGGAGGGCGAGUCAGUUCUUAGUAUAGCAGAGAGAUGGAGAGCAGCAAACAGGAUGUGAGUAUUAAGAAUUUAUGUCAGAUUAGUAUCAGCUUGUUUUGUCAUGGAUAUGUUAAUAAUCUGAGUACCUAUCAUCUCCUUAAACGUUCGUUGUCUUAUUAAUGUGGACUCACAUAAGUGGUGAUGGGAGAGACUACUGGAGCCAAUAGACUUGGUACCUUCCCAUAUUCUUUUUAUUCACAAUUAGUAUCUGCAUGAUAAACGAUCCAUGUUCAGCACUGUAAUUGCAAACAGGCCUCCGUAAAAUUCUACACAACUGGAUGAGAGGGAAUUUCAUUGAAAAUUGCCAUGACUUUUGAGGGGUGAAGAAUCCUAUACCAUGAGCAGAUAGACAGAAGACUUCUUACAGAGCAGACUCGAGAGUGUAACUGAGUCAUAUUACUUACAAAGCCUUGUGAUGAA